CUGGCGGCGUGCUUAACACAUGCAAGUCGAACGGUGAAAGGGACCUUGCUUUUGUGGGUCCUGGAUGAGUGGCGAACGGGUGAGUAACACGUGAGUAACCUGCCCCCUUCUUCUGGAUAACCGCAUGAAAGUGUGGCUAAUACGGGAUAUUCUGUGCCUGCUGCAUGGUGGGUGUGGGAAAGAUGCGCCUUUGGGUGUUUUUGGUGGGGGAUGGGCUCGCGGCCUAUCAGCUUGUUGGUGGGGUGAUGGCCUACCAAGGCGGUGACGGGUAGCCGGCCUGAGAGGGUGGACGGUCACACUGGGACUGAGACACGGCCCAGACUCCUACGGGAGGCAGCAGUGGGGAAUAUUGCACAAUGGGCGCAAGCCUGACGCAGCGACGCCGCGUGAGGGAUGGAGGCCUUCGGGUUGUAAACCUCUUUCGCCAGUGAAGCAGGCCUGUCCCUUGUGGUUGGGUUGACGGUAGCUGGAUAAGAAGCGCCGGCUAACUACGUGCCAGCAGCCGCGGUAAUACGUAGGGCGCGAGCGUUGUCCGGAAUUAUUGGGCGUAAAGAGCUCGUAGGCGGCUGGUCGCGUCUGUCGUGAAAUCCUCUGGCUUAACUGGGGGCUUGCGGUGGGUACGGGCCGGCUUGAGUGCGGUAGGGGAGACUGGAACUCCUGGUGUAGCGGUGGAAUGCGCAGAUAUCAGGAAGAACACCGGUGGCGAAGGCGGGUCUCUGGGCCGUUACUGACGCUGAGGAGCGAAAGCGUGGGGAGCGAACAGGAUUAGAUACCCUGGUAGUCCACGCCGUAAACGUUGGGCACUAGGUGUGGGGGGCCUUUUCCGGGUCUUCCGCGCCGUAGCUAACGCAUUAAGUGCCCCGCCUGGGGAGUACGGCCGCAAGGCUAAAACUCAAAGGAAUUGACGGGGGCCCGCACAAGCGGCGGAGCAUGCGGAUUAAUUCGAUGCAACGCGAAGAACCUUACCAAGGCUUGACAUGUGCCGGUCGGCUCCGGAGACGGGGUUUCCUCCUUGUGGGGCCGGUUCACAGGUGGUGCAUGGUUGUCGUCAGCUCGUGUCGUGAGAUGUUGGGUUAAGUCCCGCAACGAGCGCAACCCUUGUCCCGUGUUGCCAGCACGUUGUGGUGGGGACUCGCGGGAGACUGCCGGGGUCAACUCGGAGGAAGGUGGGGAUGACGUCAAAUCAUCAUGCCCCUUAUGUCUUGGGCUUCACGCAUGCUACAAUGGCCGGUACAGAGGGCUGCGAUACCGUGAGGUGGAGCGAAUCCCUUAAAGCCGGUCUCAGUUCGGAUCGGUGUCUGCAACUCGACACCGUGAAGUUGGAGUCGCUAGUAAUCGCAGAUCAGCAACGCUGCGGUGAAUACGUUCUCGGGCCUUGCACACACCGCCCGUC
rnacentral:rRNA from 1 species